UACGUAGGGUCCGAGCGUUGUCCGGAAUUAUUGGGCGUAAAGAGCUCGUAGGUGGUUUGUCGCGUUGUUCGUGAAAACCGGGGGCUUAACCCUCGGCGUGCGGGCGAUACGGGCAGACUUGAGUACUGCAGGGGAGACUGGAAUUCCUGGUGUAGCGGUGGAAUGCGCAGAUAUCAGGAGGAACACCGGUGGCGAAGGCGGGUCUCUGGGCAGUAACUGACGCUGAGGAGCGAAAGCGUGGGGAGCGAACAGG
rnacentral:rRNA from 1 species